GCGCCAGUUUCGAGCGUAGGUGGGUGGCAAUGCACUGGCAUAUCCUGCAUACAUCUUGCACUUAACAAAAUAUCAUAUUUCACUUGGUUACUACAAAGUCAUCUGCAAGAUGAUCAAUUUUGAAGAUGAAGACUUUGACUUAGCAGAGGGUUUCCUGGACGAGGUGCUGGCGUCAUCCCGCGGCUCGCAGCGUCCCAGCGGCCGCGGCGUGCUGCGCGACACGGUCAGCUGCCGCUCGGCCCCGGCCGACCUUCCGGAGGAGGCCGGCC